AUGUUGCAAAUUCAACAAGGUCAGGAGGUGGAUGUUUCCAAUCAGAAAAAAGGAAAUUAUGGAAGAAAGCCUAAGGACAUUAAUCUAGAAAAAAUACUAACAAUCACAUUAAACAAGAGGUCUAAUAUUAGGUCACUAGCUUGGCAAUUGGGAUGUAGCCCUACCACACUCCAUAGAAAGUUCAUGCUGAAGUUGAUAAGUAGGUAUACAAACUGUGUGAAGCCAGCUCUAAAGGAAAAGAAUAAGAAGGAUAGGAUGAAAUUUUUCUUGUCGAUGCUUGUUGAGGCAACAACAACUGCAAUGCCUAUAUUCAAGACAAUGCAUAAUGUUGUGCAUAUUGAUGAGAAGUGGUUUAACAUGAUCAAGAAGAAUAAAACCUAUUAUCUGCUGGAUGGGGAGGAAGAGCCUAUGGGGCCUAUACAUGGCAACUGUAUUGGCAAGGUGGUGUUCUUGACGGUUGUUGCUAGGCCAAGGUAG
rnacentral:rRNA from 1 species